GACAUAUCACUUUGAAAUACUGGUUCUCAUAUGAUUACCGAAGUUAAGCAACGUUGAGCCUGGUCAGUACCUAGAUGAUGUGUGACCGCUUGGUAAUACAGGGAGCUGUAUG